rnacentral:rRNA from 1 species
GCAUCGAUGAAAAACGCAGCGAAAUGCGAUAAGUAGUGUGAGAUUGCAGAAUUCAGUGAAUCAUCGAAUCUUUGAACGCACAUUGCGCCCCUCGGUAUUUCCGUGGGGCAUGCCUGUUCGAGCGUCAUU